CAUUGAAACACCAGUUCCCAUACAAUUACUGAAGUUAAGCAACAUUGAGCCUGGUUAGUACCUAGAUGAGUGACUUCUUGAGUG